CCGCUUGCAGGUAAACAGAUGGACCCACGAAGUCCUGUUGAGUGAAGGAUUCAAAUUUUUGAGUUCGCAUAGGCGGCAGCUAAAGACCUCAUUGAGGAGUUUACUGUUGCCUACUGUGUACUGAAAGAUGCAUUUCUUUCACUCACGUUGGAGCUCUGACUGCUUAACAGACUUUAACUGCUUUGUGCCCCUGUAAGUGUGGUGGAACUCUUCGAGUUCAACUCACACUACAUCAGGUGAAGUAAGUGAAGUCACACUGAGCAGGUGAAAUUUCUACGACAUGUAGAGUUUCAGGUCGUCGGCGAUUGCUGUGGAGCCAAAGAUGAAUGCAUUGUAUGUCUUUCGACUCUUGUAGUUGAAGUCUACAGGCAGCUAUUGUCUUUAAGUGCUACACAGUCUUCGUCAGUGACAAUCCAGAGUAAGUAGGUCGGUCAUCCAUCUGACCCGUCUUGAAACACGGACCAAGGAGUCCAACAUUUACGCGAGUCGCUCGGUCUUGAAUAGGCCUGAGAGGCGAAAUAAACAUAAUGGUAUGAUCUUCUGAUGUCUCUCGAGGCUAAGAGGCGCAAUACCAACCUGCUUAUGUUGCCUUUUGACAACAAAGCGGAGUUUGAGCGUAUAUGUUGGUACCCGAAAGAUGGUGAACUAUACUUGGGCAGGACGAAGCCAGAGGAAACUCUGGUGGAGGUCCGUAGCGAUUCUGACGUGCAAAUCGAUCGUCAGACCUGAGUAUAGGGGCGAAAGACUAAUCGAACCAUCUAGUAGCUGGUUCCCUCCGAAGUUUCCCUCAGGAUAGCUGGUACUAAUACAACUCUGUAGCAUCCGGUAAAGCGAAUGAUUAGAGGUCUUGGGAUCGAAACGAUCUCAACCUAUUCUCAAACUUUAAAUGGGUGCGAGGCUCGACUUUUUUGCUCUAAAGUCUUGCUUCGUAAGAGUAGUACCAAGUGGGCCAUUUUUGGUAAGCAGAACUGGCGCUGUGGGAUGAACCAAACAGAGAGUUAAGGUACCAAAUGCUGACGCUCAUGAGACCCCAUGAAAGGUGUUGGUUGCUAUAGACAGC
rnacentral:rRNA from 2 species